rnacentral:lncRNA from 1 species
CUAACAGACAGACAAGGCGGAGAUGAGGGGCCGAGAUGCUAACAGACAGACAAGGCGGAGAUGAGUGGCCGAGAUGCUAACAGACAGACAAGGCGGAGAUGAGUGGCCGAGACACGCACAGACAGACAAGGCGGAGAUGAGUGGCCGAGAUGCUAACAGACAGACAAGGCGGAGAUGAGGGGCCGAGAUGCUAACAGACAGACAAGGCGGAGAUGAGUGGCCGAGAUGCUAACAGACAGACAAGGCGGAGAUGAGUGGCCGAGACACGCACAGACAGACAAGGUGGAGAUGAGUGGCCGAGACGCUAACAGACAGACAAGGUGGAGAUGAGUGGCCGAGACGCGCACGGACUGGACAGACAAGGCUGAGAUGAGUGACCGAGACGCGCAUGGACAAGGUGGAGAUGAGUGGCCGAGACGCGCACGGACAGACAAGGCGAAGAUGAGUGGACGAGACGCUAACAGACAGACAAGGCGGAGAUGAGUGUCCGAGACGCGCACGGACAGACAAGGUGGAGAUGAGUGGCCGAGACGCUAACAGACAGACAAGGCGGAGAUGAGUGUCCGAGACGCGCACGGACAGACAAGGUGGAGAUGAGUGGCCGAGACGCUAACAGACAGACAAGGCGGAGAUGAGUCGCCGAGACGAGCACGGACAAGGUGGAGAUGAGUGGCCGAGACGCUAACAGACAGACAAGGCGGAGAUGAGUGGCCGAGAUGCUAACAGACAGACAAGGUGGAGAUGAGUGGCCGAGACGCUAACAGACAGACAAGGCGGAGAUGAGUCGCCGAGACGCGCACGGACAAGGUGGAGAUGAGUGGCCGAGACUCUAACAGACAGACAAGGCGGAGAUGAGUGUCCGAGACGCGCACGGACAGACAAGGUGGAGAUGAGUGGCCGAGACGCUAACAGACAGACAAGGCGGAGAUGAGUCGCCGAGACGAGCAUGGACAGACAAGGCGGAGAUGAGUGGCCGAGAUGCUAACAGACAGACAAGGCGGAGAUGAGUGGCCGAGAUGCUAACAGACAGACAAGGCGGAGAUGAGUGGCCGAGACGCUAACAGACAGACAAGGCGGAGAUGAGUGGCCGAGACACGCACAGACAGACAAGGUGGAGAUGAGUGGCCGAGACGCUAACAGACAGACAAGGUGGAGAUGAGUGGCCGAGACGCGCACGGACAGGACAGACAAGGCUGAGAUGAGUGGCCGAGACGCGCAUGGACAAGGUGGAGAUGAGUGGCCGAGACGCGCACGGACAGACAAGGCGGAGAUGAGUGGCCGAGACGCUAACAGACAGACAAGGCGGAGAUGAGUGUCCGAGACGCGCACGGACAGACAAGGUGGAGAUGAGUGGCCGAGACGCUAACAGACAGACAAGGCGGAGAUGAGUGUCCGAGACGCGCACGGACAGACAAGGUGGAGAUGAGUGGCCGAGACGCUAACAGACAGACAAGGCGGAGAUGAGUCGCCGAGACGCGCACGGACAGACAAGGUGGAGAUGAGUGGCCGAGACGCUAACAGACAGACAAGGCGGAGAUGAGUGGCCGAGAUGCUAACAGACAGACAAGGUGGAGAUGAGUGGCCGAGACGCUAACAGACAGACAAGGUGGAGAUGAGUGGCCGAGACGCGCACGGACAGGACAGACAAGGCGGAGAUGAGUGGCCGAGACGCGCACGGACAAGGUGGAGAUGAGUGGCCGAGACGCGCACGGACAGGACAGACAAGGCUGAGAUGAGUGGCCGAGACGCGCAUGGACAAGGUGGAGAUGAGUGGCCGAGACGCGCACGGACAGACAAGGCGGAGAUGAGUGGCCGAGACGCUAACAGACAGACAAGGCGGAGAUGAGUGUCCGAGACGCGCACAGACAGACAAGGCGGAGAUGAGUGGCCGAGACGCUAACAGACAGACAAGGCGGAGAUGAGUGUCCGAGACGCGCACGGACAGACA